rnacentral:rRNA from 1 species
GAUGAACGCUGGCGGCGUGCUUAACACAUGCAAGUCGAACGGAAAGGCCCAAGCUUGCUUGGGUACUCGAGUGGCGAACGGGUGAGUAACACGUGGGUGAUCUGCCCUGCACUUCGGGAUAAGCCUGGGAAACUGGGUCUAAUACCGGAUAGGACCACUUCUUGGAUGUUGUGGUGGAAAGUUUUUUCGGUGUGGGAUGAGCUCGCGGCCUAUCAGCUUGUUGGUGGGGUAAUGGCCUACCAAGGCGUCGACGGGUAGCCGGCCUGAGAGGGUGUACGGCCACAUUGGGACUGAGAUACGGCCCAGACUCCUACGGGAGGCAGCAGUGGGGAAUAUUGCACAAUGGGCGCAAGCCGGAUGCAGCGACGCCGCGGGGGGGAUGACGGCCUUCGGGUUGUAAACUCCUUUCGCUAGGGACGAAGCGUUUUGUGACGGUACCUGGAGAAGAAGCACCGGCUAACUACGUG